rnacentral:rRNA from 1 species
CGGUAAAUCCCAGCACCCUUCCAAGUGGUUCCAGGGAGGGAUUAUUGGGCCUUAAAGCAUUCCGUAGCCCUGGUCUGUAAGGUUUCCGGUUAAAUCCCAUUUACUUCAACUGAUGGGCCGCCGGAAAGACUGCAAGCUAGGGAGUGGGAGAGGUAGACGGGUACUCGGUAGGAAGGGGGUAAAAUCCCUUUGAUCUAUUGAUGACCCACCUGUGGCGAAGGCCGGUCUACCAGAACACGUCCGACGGUGAGGGAUGAAAGCUGGGGGAGCAAACCCGGAUUAGAUACCCGGGUAGUCCCCAGCUGUAAACUAUGCAAAACUCAGUGAUGCAUUGGCUUGUGGCCCAAUGCAGUGCUGCAGGGAAGCCGUUAAGUUUGCCGCCUGGGAAGUACGUACGCAAGUAUGAAACUUAAAGGAAUUGGCGGGGGAGCACCACAAGGGGUGAAGCCUGCGGUUCAAUUGGAGUCAACGCCAGAAAUCUUACCCGGAGAGACAGCAGAAUGAAGGUCAAGCUGAAGACUUUACCAGACAAGCUGAGAGGUGGUGCAUGGCCGUCGUCAGCUCGUGCCGUGAGAUGUCCUGUUAAGUCAGGUAACGAGCGAGAUCCUUGCCUCUAGUUGCCACCAUUACUCUCAGGAGUAGUGGGGCGAAUUAGCGGGACCGCCGCAGUUAAUGCGGAGGAAGGAAAGGGCCACGGCAGGUCAGUAUGCCCCGAAACUCUGGGGCCACACGCGGGCUGCAAUGGUAAUGACAGUGGGUUUCGAAUCCGAAAGGAGGAGGUAAUCCUCAAACGUUACCACAGUUAUGACUGAGGGCUGCAACUCGCCCUCACGAAUAUGGAAUCCCUAGUAACUGCGUGUCAUUAUCGCGCGGUGAAUACGUCCCUGCUCCUUGCACUCACCGCCCGUCA